rnacentral:rRNA from 1 species
CGUUAUAACCGGCGAUUUCCGAAUGGGGAAACCCAGUGUGAUUCGUCACACUAUCAUUAACUGAAUCCAUAGGUUAAUGAGGCGAACCGGGGGAACUGAAACAUCUAAGUACCCCGAGGAAAAGAAAUCAACCGAGAUUCCCCCAGUAGCGGCGAGCGAACGGGGAGGAGCCCAGAGCCUGAAUCAGCAUGUGUGUUAGUGGAAGCGUCUGGAAAGGCGCGCGAUACAGGGUGACAGCCCCGUACACAAAAGCGCAUGUGCUGUGAGCUCGAUGAGUAGGGCGGGACACGUGGUAUCCUGUCUGAAUAUGGGGGGACCAUCCUCCAAGGCUAAAUACUCCUGACUGACCGAUAGUGAACCAGUACCGUGAGGGAAAGGCGAAAAGAACCCCGGCGAGGGGAGUGAAAAAGAACCUGAAACCGUGUACGUACAAGCAGUGGGAGCNNNNNNNNNNNNNNNNNNNNNNGGGCGUUAAGUUGCAGGGUAUAGACCCGAAACCCGGUGAUCUAGCCAUGGGCAGGUUGAAGGUUGGGUAACACUAACUGGAGGACCGAACCGACUAAUGUUGAAAAAUUAGCGGAUGACCUGUGGCUGGGGGUGAAAGGCCAAUCAAACCGGGAGAUAGCUGGUUCUCCCCGAAAGCUAUUUAGGUAGCGCCUCGUGAAUUCAUCUCCGGGGGUAGAGCACUGUUUCGGCUAGGGGGCCAUCCCGGCUUACCAACCCGAUGCAAACUGCGAAUACCGGAGAAUGUUAUCACGGGAGACACACGGCGGGUGCUAACGUCCGUCGUGAAGAGGGAAACAACCCAGACCGCCAGCUAAGGUCCCAAAGUCAUGGUUAAGUGGGAAACGAUGUGGGAAGGCCCAGACAGCCAGGAUGUUGGCUUAGAAGCAGCCAUCAUUUAAAGAAAGCGUAAUAGCUCACUGGUCGAGUCGGCCUGCGCGGAAGAUGUAACGGGGCUAAACCAUGCACCGAAGCUGCGGCAGCGANNUGCUGGAGGUAUCAGAAGUGCGAAUGCUGACAUAAGUAACGAUAAAGCGGGUGAAAAGCCCGCUCGCCGGAAGACCAAGGGUUCCUGUCCAACGUUAAUCGGGGCAGGGUGAGUCGACCCCUAAGGCGAGGCCGAAAGGCGUAGUCGAUGGGAAACGGGUUAAUAUUCCCGUACUUGGUGUUACUGCGAAGGGGGGACGGAGAAGGCUAUGUUGGCCGGGCGACGGUUGUCCCGGUUUAAGCGUGUAGGUGUGUGUUCCAGGUAAAUCCGGUUCACUUUAACACUGAGGCGUGACGACGAGGCACUACGGUGCUGAAGCAACAAAUGCCCUGCUUCCAGGAAAAGCCUCUAAGCAUCAGGUAACAUCAAAUCGUACCCCAAACCGACACAGGUGGUCAGGUAGAGAAUACCAAGGCGCUUGAGAGAACUCGGGUGAAGGAACUAGGCAAAAUGGUGCCGUAACUUCGGGAGAAGGCACGCUGACACGUAGGUGAAGUGAUUUACUCAUGGAGCUGAAGUCAGUCGAAGAUACCAGCUGGCUGCAACUGUUUAUUAAAAACACAGCACUGUGCAAACACGAAAGUGGACGUAUACGGUGUGACGCCUGCCCGGUGCCGGAAGGUUAAUUGAUGGGGUCAGCGCAAGCGAAGCUCCUGAUCGAAGCCCCGGUAAACGGCGGCCGUAACUAUAACGGUCCUAAGGUAGCGAAAUUCCUUGUCGGGUAAGUUCCGACCUGCACGAAUGGCGUAAUGAUGGCCAGGCUGUCUCCACCCGAGACUCAGUGAAAUUGAACUCGCUGUGAAGAUGCAGUGUACCCGCGGCAAGACGGAAAGACCCCGUGAACCUUUACUAUAGCUUGACACUGAACAUUGAGCCUUGAUGUGUAGGAUAGGUGGGAGGCUUUGAAGUGUGGACGCCAGUCUGCAUGGAGCCGACCUUGAAAUACCACCCUUUAAUGUUUGAUGUUCUAACGUGGACCCGUAAUCCGGGUUGCGGACAGUGUCUGGUGGGUAGUUUGACUGGGGCGGUCUCCUCCUAAAGAGUAACGGAGGAGCACGAAGGUUGGCUAAUCCUGGUCGGACAUCAGGAGGUUAGUGCAAUGGCAUAAGCCAGCUUGACUGCGAGCGUGACGGCGCGAGCAGGUGCGAAAGCAGGUCAUAGUGAUCCGGUGGUUCUGAAUGGAAGGGCCAUCGCUCAACGGAUAAAAGGUACUCCGGGGAUAACAGGCUGAUACCGCCCAAGAGUUCAUAUCGACGGCGGUGUUUGGCACCUCGAUGUCGGCUCAUCACAUCCUGGGGCUGAAGUAGGUCCCAAGGGUAUGGCUGUUCGCCAUUUAAAGUGGUACGCGAGCUGGGUUUAGAACGUCGUGAGACAGUUCGGUCCCUAUCUGCCGUGGGCGCUGGAGAACUGAGGGGGGCUGCUCCUAGUACGAGAGGACCGGAGUGGACGCAUCACUGGUGUUCGGGUUGUCAUGCCAAUGGCACUGCCCGGUAGCUAAAUGCGGAAGAGAUAAGUGCUGAAAGCAUCUAAGCACGAAACUUGCCCCGAGAUGAGUUCUCCCUGAGACUUAGAGUCUCCUGAAGGAACGUUGAAGACGACGACGUUGAUAGGCCGGGUGUGUAAG